rnacentral:rRNA from 1 species
CAGUCGUACUUAUGGGUAAUCAGCCUUUUGGGUGUGAUUUUGUGGAGCGUGAGGAGUUAAACGCCUUCAUGCCUGCAUAUUCGUAUACUUUGGGUGUACUUAUUCGUGUGGUAAGUUAACAUCAAUUUUGGUGAUCAUAAAAUGACUAGAGGAAUGUAGCUUCGAUCUCGUAUUGAAGUGUUAUAGCCUUUGGUAGAUGUGAUGAUCAGGAUUGAGGAUUGGCAACGGAUACCCUUCGGGGCUACCUGUCUGGUCUCUGAUCGUUGCUCUGGUGCCGAAAGCUUGCUUACGGUUAUCAAAGUCGAUGGUCAAUAGGUUAGAAUGGGUUAAAUUCGUUAAGGAUGUUGACGUAA